rnacentral:rRNA from 1 species
UUUGAGCGGGGGACAACAUUUGGAAACGAAGGCUAAUACCGCAAAACAACUUUAAACACAAGUUUUAAGUUUGAAAGAUGCAAUUGCAUCACUCAAAGAUGAUCCCGCGUUGUAUUAGCUAGUUGGUGAGGUAAAGGCUCACCAAGGCGAUGAUACAUGGCCAACCUGAGAGGGUGAUCGGCCACAUUGGGACUGAAACACGGCCCAAACUCCUACGGGAGGCAGCAGUAGGGAAUCUUCGGCAAUGGACAAAAGUCUGACCGAGCAACGCCCCGUGAGUGAAAAAGGUUUUCGGAUCGUAAAACUCUGUUGGUAAAGAAAAACGUUGGUGAGAGCGGAAAGCUCAUCAAGUGACGGUAACUACCCAAAAAGGGACGGCUAACUACUUGCCAGCAGCCGCGGUAAUACGUAGGUCCCGAGCGUUGUCCGGAUUUAUUGGGCGUAAAGCGAGCGCAGGUGGUUUAUUAAGUCUGGUGUAAAAGGCAGUGGCUCAACCAUUGUAUGCAUUGGAAACUGGUAAACUUGAGUGCAGGAAAGGAAAGUGGAAUUCCAUGUGUAGCGGUGAAAUGCGUAAAUUUAUGGGAGGAACCCCGGUGGCGAAAGCGGCUCUCUGGCCUGUAACUGACACUGAGGCUCGAAAGCGUGGGGGGAGCAAACAGGAUUAGAUACCCUGGUAGUCCACGCCGUAAACGAUGAGUGCUAGAUGUAGGGAGCUAUAAGUUCUCUGUAUCGCAGCUAACGCAAU